UUAACCAUUAUUUUCAUUUCUUGAAAAGAAGGAAGAAAAAAAAAUGAUUCAAGUUAAAAUUAAUUAGAAGAAAAAACUGCUCUGGUUGAAAAUAAGUAGAAGUGGGCAGCCUCCAGCUAUAUAAAUACGUAUCUUCAUGGGAGCAUUUUGCAAACACAAAUUUGAUCAAGAGUUCAAAUAAUUAGAAAUAAUGGGAAAAGUUGUGGGUAACUCUGCCAAGAUGGUUGUUUUGCUCUUCCUUUUCACCCUCAUGCUUUCCAUCAAUGAAAAGCAAGGGGCGGUGGAGGCAAAGUUGUGUCAGGAGCGGAGUAAGACGUGGUCGGGAUAUUGCGCCAUCACGAGCCAUUGCGACCGACAAUGCAAGAAUUGGGAAGGUGCAGUUCGUGGAGCUUGCCACGAUCACGUUCCUGGAAAGGCUUGUUAUUGCUACUACAACUGUUGAAAACCAUGCAAUAAUUCCUUAUGAAUUGAUGAUGAUAAUCUCCAUCUCCAUCUUAUAUAUUCCCCCUUUUCAGAAAAAUAAAAACUGUGUAAUUUUCUUAUGUGGGUGUGAAGGGAUAUCAAUAUGGUAAUAUUAAUUAGUUUUUAAUUAGUGUUUUUUUAAGUGUGAGAAGUCUAUGUAGUUGGAAAAGUGUGUAUUGUGGUUAUUGUGAUAAAUAUGCUGUUAUUUAUCUUUUUAGCAGCUUGUUUGUGUGUCUGUCUUCGUCUUCAUAUCAAAAUAAAAUGGCCUUGCUGGUUGUCUCCCACUA